AGAGUUUGAUCAUGGCUCAGAUUGAACGCUGGCGGCGUGCCUAACACAUGCAAGUCGUGCGUGAAAGGGCUUCGGCCUGAGUAAAGCGGCGCACGGGUGAGUAACGCGUGGAUGAUCUGCCCAUGAGUUGGGAAUAACGGCUGGAAACGGUCGCUAAUACCGAAUACGCUCCGAUUUCACAUUUCGGGGGAAAGGUGGCCUCUGCUUGCAAGCUACCGCUCAUGGAUGAGUCCGCGUCCCAUUAGCUAGUUGGCGGGGUAAUGGCCCACCAAGGCGACGAUGGGUAGCCGACCUGAGAGGGUGAUCGGCAACACUGGGACUGGAACACGGCCCAGACUCCUACGGGAGGCAGCAGUGGGGAAUAUUGCGCAAUGGGCGAAAGCCUGACGCAGCGACGCCGCGUGAGGGAUGAAGGCCUUCGGGUCGUAAACCUCUGUCAGGAGGGAAGAACCGCCAUGGUGCUAAUCAGCCAUGGUCUGACGGUACCUCCAAAGGAAGCACCGGCUAACUCCGUGCCAGCAGCCGCGGUAAUAC
rnacentral:rRNA from 1 species